GUUGUUGUAUGAAUAAUGACUGAAAUGCAAAAUUCAACAUAUCAGUGUUGUGUAAACACCCUAGGGCAGUUUCAUAUUACACGCAUUGGAUCAUCAAACUGAAUACCGUGGCGUCAAUAUCUUAGCUCAAAACAGGAAAUCAAAAAAUAAAUUAUAGGAUGUGUACAACUUCAAUACGUGUGAAAUUUUACAAAUUAUCAAUAAUGUUUAGUGAAAAGCAUUGAUUCCAGAUUUCACAUAAAAGGCAAAACCAAUUUUAAAACAAGCAUUUUUUUUAAUGUACCAUGCUCCCUACCGGUCCCAAGUCAUUUCGUCUGCGUAAUAUUAAUGCGUGAAUAAUCAAAUGUCAACUGUUUAUGUUCAACUGUUUAUGUUAACUUCCUCUUUGGCUCCGUCGUUGGGGGACUAAAUAUAUUUAAAGGUUUUAAAAAGGAAAAGAAAAAUGCGAAAGGAUUUUUUUUUUAUCAAAUGAUCCAUGUGAUUCUUAUGCGAAAUAUCAGAAUGUAAGUAACAUGCAGAAAACCCAAUUUACUUUCUAUUGAACGAUUAGGGGCCAUAACUAAAUGUGUCACUUUCUUCCACAGACAAGACAAAGAUGAUAUUGUAUCUGACAAUCUCAAAUUGAAAGUCGGACUCAUUAUACGUCUGUAGUGCUGCACAUCACAUCGAAACACGUCAACGACACACAUCCGGGGAUUUAUGAAACAUUGCGUCAAAUGCAUGUGGAAAAGAUAUGAUAAAAGACUCCCAUACCUACACUGUACAUCAUCCAUUGGAUAAAAAUAUAGGUUCAUUAACAACCGUUAGUGAAGAUGUUACCGCUUAUUGAAUGCAGGUUAAAACAUGACGCAGCCGUGCGUGAAACUAAAUCUGUGACGUCAGCGGAAGAAAAGAUUCUUUAUUAUUAUUCUUUAUUGCUGAAGACAUACGUCCUAUGGCAUACAUGUUUACAAAAAUAAUAAACAAGUUAACAAUUGUAUAGUAUGACAUGGCAUGACAUUAUAUGGUAUGUUACACAAUGAUGAUGUGAAUUUAUAGACAGAGAAUGUUAUAUAAGUAAAUCAUUAUGUAAAUUAAAGGCACAGUAAAGAUAUUUCCCCAAAUUACACAACUCUUUGAAUUUUUUUUACACUUAAUAAUUGUAUAAGUUUAAAAACAGAUGGGUUUUCCCAAUAAUACCUCUUGAUAUAUUUCCUGCGCAAUUCAAUAAAGCAAGGACAUUUUAAAAUAAAAAGAAAUUCAUCCUCAUUAUCUAAAUUACAUAGUUUACAAUAGCGGUUAUUUCUUGCUACAUUAAAAUGACGUCCACUCUCAAUGGCAAGAUUAUGCGAAGACAUUCUAAUUCUACUACUGUGUCAUUUAUAAACAUGUGGUAUAGCCUUCAUCAAGUCAAAUUCCAACUACUAUUGCCGCGAGGUAGACAGAACAUAUUUCCAAUUCAUUAAAAUUAUGUAAACAUUCGCUCGGUAAAAUCGUGCGAAUAUAUACAAUAUUACAACUCGCUAGAUAAAGUAAAUAUACAAUCAUAGUAUAUGUACGAAAAUUUCUGUCCGAAACGCUGUGUUACAAAAUAUGAUCGUCAACCAUACCUGCUAAUGUACUACAUGUUGUAGAUUUCAGACAUGCUGUUCAUUUGAGAUGUAUAUAGGAAAGAAGAAAAUAAACGUAUACAACGGUAGAAUUAUUUUAUACCAAGCAUAUUAUGACCACAAACAAGAUUGAGAUGCUUUCUUUUCAUCAUAUUUUUCGAUUUCAAAACAUUCGAUAUUAUUACAAAACGAAAACAUCAUUACAAUGGCUAUUUUUCGAUACACAAUGAAUUAUUGUACUUGGUUAUUAUCACGGUUUCUUGCGUAAAUUUGUUUUCACGCUGCUGAAAAUUCACAAUUUUAUGUAAAUUUCUAUACAUACAUGUAUUUAUAAACAUGGUAUUUUACUAAUUUUACGAUGUUAGUCUGAAGUUUGUAAUUCUGACUUUAAAUUUGCUAGAUUUGCUAUUUCAUAAAUAAGCGUGCAUGUCACAAGCAUUUCAUGUUUAACAAUUUGAAGCGUUUUCUGUCUAUCAAUUCUAGUUAACGAACUUUGUUUGCCUACAUCAUGCGCAUGACUUAAUUGCUACCAUGGCAAUAGAACCAUAAUACACGGUCCAGCGCCUCGAUUCAUGUUUUUUUCCUCCCUGUUAAUUUCUUUAAGCGCCGGUAGCCUUGAAAUCGAGCGGAGAAUGUUAAUUACAUAGUGUAGUACAUGUAUGUGUUAUUUAGGCCUAUUUUCACGUACUCAACAUCAUGUUCGACCUCUUACCUGCGUCGUUAUCCUCUUUUCGUCUUCGAUCCAUCAUUUCCUGUUUUGAUACGGUGAUAAAUGACUUUGACUAUCUAAGCUGAUUUAAAUUUAGGAAAAAUUAUAACGCAAUUCGGUCAUUCAUCUUAGUUUCACUGUAACUUACCCAUGAAGGGUGUUUACCAAAUUUCUGCCUUUACUUAGAAGGGUGGAUUGGUACAGAAGUAAAUAUUACACAAUUUAUUCCAUCUUCCCAUCAACGUGGAGCGGAGUGGACCGAGAACCCAUGAAUUCAUUCCUAUACACAGUAGUGAUCUAUUUAUAGAUAUACAUGUAUUAAAAGCAUCACAAAAUUGAAUACAUUGAAAUAUGUAGAUCUUAACCUUUUCUAACUCGAGUUUUAAAAAAAAGUUUCAAGGAACGCAUAUAUAUGAGAGUACAAACGAAUUUAAAGACGCGUGAUCUCUUUCAGUUCCAGAUGUUCUAGGAUGACCGACGGACAGAGAGGCUGCGGAAAAAAUAUCAAUGCAGGUCGCUGUGCUUCGCAGUCGGCACAAAAUGCACAGAGAAGGAUUCAACAGCUUCUACGUAAGACGAAAAUGUCUCGCUGUGGCCUUCAAUGAACUUAAAAUGAAAUAUACCAGCCUUUCAUAUCUUCUUCUUAUCUAACUGGAUAUAUGAUUACAAACAGAUGUUAAAGAUUGAUUGAAUAUUAGUUAACGUCCCUCUCGAGAUUAUUUCACUCACUGUCGGUGAAGGGCUGCAAAAUUUCGGCCUAUGCUCAGCGCUUAUGGCCUUUGAACAGGGAGUGAUCUUUAUCGUGCCACAUCUACUGUAACACGGGACCUCGGUUUUAGCAGUCUCAGCCGAAGGACCACCCCAUUCAGUUGCCUUCUAUGACAAGCAAGGGGUACUGAGGACCUAUUCUAACCCGGAUCCCCACGGGAACAUAUGUUAAAGACAAACUAACGACUUAACUUGGUGACAAACGGGAUGACUUCUGCUUCUCCAACGUAAACUCCCAUACUUAUCAUCUGUAUAUGGUGUCCAUGUCUCUCAACUGAUUCGAUACACGAGAGCAUGUUCUGCGUAUGAUCAAAUUUUAAAUCGAGGCAGGCUACUGGUAAAUAGUUGAUGUUGCAGGGGUUUCAAUAGUUUCGUUUAAACCGGUAGUUAGUAUUUCGCAAAUUACAUGGUCGUUAUAAUGAUCCGAUUUCCAAAUACAACCUGACAUUAGGUCGAAUGCUAUCUGACAUGUUAGGCCGUUCUUUACAUGCUGAUUUUGACUACGGAUUACUCCGCUUACCUGAUCCAAAUAAGGCUCAAGGCGGGUAUGACCAGUCAGCAGGGGAUGCUUACUUCUCCUAGGCACAUGGCUUUACCACUGAUGUGUCCAGUUGCUCGUAUUUUGCCAUAUUCUUGCUUUUGUAUUCUUUAUAAGAACUAUGAGAAUGAUCAUUGUUCGUUAUCUUCAUUUUUUUUCAGUCUUAAUUUUGUCUAGUAAUAGGAAAAGGCAAAACGAAAAGUAAUCAAACAAGUUGUUGUCCUUUAAAAGAGGACUGCAAUACGUGGACAAUAGGCAUGCGUUUCUAACAGAAACCUAAUAUUCUAGGUUGAAAUUAAAAUACAUUUCAAAACAGAUUCUUUUAAAUCUUGAAACAUGCGAAUAUUUCAUUAUAAGUUGUAUUGCUAGAGCUGUAAUGAUGUAUAAGCCUAAUGGAUAUUCAAUAGUUGUAGCUUGCUUCAACUCCAAAAUUAAGAGUCAUCCCUGUAUUGAUAUUGACCUUUAAGUUCAAAUUCAACAGGGGACACAAUUUGGUCUAAAUAAUAACGUUCGAGUUUCAUGCCUUAAUAGCCGUUUUUCGAGUUCCUCCGGAACGCGGUUUUUAUUCUGUGUUUAGUCACGCCGCUUCAAAAAUGUUCAGCAGGGUUACUUCCGGUUUCUCGUUGUUCACCAACACUUCGCGUAUUAAAUGUAUUAGUUUGGGAUGUAUGGGGGUACGUAUUUGUUUGUCAACGUUUGAUAAGCUACCAUUGGUCAAAUUCAACGGAAGACUUAGAGAAGACGACGAUGUUGCAGUGUAACUUGCAGAUCUAUGCAGAAGGCCUAACUGUCUAGGAACCCUAGGCCCUAUAGCCCUAUCUAGUACAGUACUAGCCAUAGUGGGACAUGAAAAGAACGUAUUAGACUCGGUGAAACCUACCAGAUAGGUGCUGUGAUGGUGUACAUAUAUGACCUGCUUUGGUCUGAAUGGUUUGCUAUUAAACUAUGGACAGGACAGUGGUAUCAUCUGUGAAUGACUGACCAUGCUGAUUAUGUCAAAGCUGUGGAAUAUUUCUACAUAAAUGAUCUUCGUACUAAUCAAAGACACAACAGAAUGAGAUAUAUGCUACCAAAAAUGACCAAGACAAAACAAAAAUGUUAUAUGGGGAUAUUGGAAGUGGAUCAUCCAUUUUCCUUGCCUUUCCCUCGAGGUCUUCAGACAGUGUCUCUAUACACCAUUAACCAUGUUGGUUAG